AAUAAGCGGAGGAAAAGAAACUAACAAGGAUUCCCCUAGUAACGGCGAGUGAAGAGGGAAAAGCUCAAAUUUGAAAUCUGGCGGCCUACGGUCGUCCGAGUUGUAAUCUAGAGAAGUGUUUCCGUGCUGGACCGUGUACAAGUCCUUUGGAACAAGGCGUCAUAGAGGGUGAGAAUCCCGUCUACGACACGGACUACCAGUGCUCUGUGAUACACUCUCAACGAGUCGAGUUGUUUGGGAAUGCAGCUCAAAAUGGGUGGUAAAUUCCAUCUAAAGCUAAAUACGGGCGAAAGACCGAUAGCGAACAAGUACCGUGAGGGAAAGAUGAAAAGCACUUUGGAAAGAGAGUUAAACAGUACGUGAAAUUGUUGAAAGGGAAACGCUUGAAGUCAGUCGCGUCUUCAGAAAUUCAGCUUGGCUUCUGCCUGGUGUACUUUUCUGUUGGACGGGCCAGCAUCAGUUUUGGUCGCCAGAGAAAGGUGGGAGGAAGGUGGCACCUCCGGGUGUGUUAUAGCCUCUCAUCGUAUGUGGCGGCUGGGACUGAGGACCGCAGCACGCCUUCAUGGCCGGGGUUCGCCCACGUAACGUGCUUAGGAUGCUGGCGUAAUGGCUUUAAGCGACCCGUCUUGAAACACGGACCAAGGAGUCUAACAUGCCUGCGAGUAUUUGGGUGGUAAACCCAUAUGCGGAAUGAAAGUGAACAGUUGGGACUUCUGUCAUGGAAGGCACCGACGCCCGGACCAGACCUACUGUGACGGAUCCGAGGUAGAGCAUGUAUGUUGGGACCCGAAAGAUGGUGAACUAUGCCUGAGUAGGGUGAAGCCAGAGGAAACUCUGGUGGAGGCUCGUAGCGAUUCUGACGUGCAAAUCGAUCGUCGAACUUGGGUAUAGGGG
rnacentral:rRNA from 1 species